rnacentral:rRNA from 1 species
UACGGAGGGCGCGAGCGUUAAUCGGAAUUACUGGGCGUAAAGCGCACGUAGGCUGUUGUGUAAGUUGGGGGUGAAAUCCCACGGCUCAACCGUGGAACAGCCCUUGAUACUGCGCGACUUGAAUCCGGGAGAGGGUGGCGGAAUUCCAGGUGUAGGAGUGAAAUCCGUAGAUAUCUGGAGGAACAUCAGUGGCGAAGGCGGCCACCUGGACCGGUAUUGACGCUGAGGCGCGAAAGCGUGGGGAGCAAACAGG